UCAACCUUGAGUGAUCACAGUUUUUGAGAAUCACGAUGAGGCAUUAAAGAGGAGGAGUGUCCCAAGGGAGAUGAGCUGGAGGCAAAGCAAGGAUGCCUGACUUGAAUGUGAGUUGUUGUCUACAACAUACAAGGAGAGCAAAGGAAGACUAGUAAGGAGCUCAUUCCCAAGGUCAUGACCAUAGGAAGGACCCCAGGCAUCUAGCUUGUUUCCUGAAAAACAAAAUCAAGUAAAUCACAGGCUCACAGAAGAUCACAGUCAUCUGAGGAGAUCUACCACAGAGAGUGAAAAUGUGUUCAGUGUCCUGAUGUUGAGCACCAGUAUUUAGAGGGGGUGACUUACCUCUGCUCUCCUGGAACUGCUGAUUUCAUAGUAAAGAUUUGGAGAGAGAGAGAGAGAGAGAAAGAGAGAGAGAGA